rnacentral:rRNA from 2 species
UGCAGUCGAACGAAGGCUUCGGCCUUAGUGGCGCACGGGUGCGUAACGCGUGGGAAUCUGCCCCUGGGUACGGAAUAACAGUGAGAAAUUACUGCUAAUACCGUAUGAUGACGUAAGUCCAAAGAUUUAUCGCCCAGGGAUGAGCCCGCGUAGGAUUAGCUUGUUGGUGAGGUAAAGGCUCACCAAGGCGACGAUCCUUAGCUGGUCUGAGAGGAUGAUCAGCCACACUGGGACUGAGACACGGCCCAGACUCCUACGGGAGGCAGCAGUGGGGAAUAUUGGACAAUGGGCGAAAGCCUGAUCCAGCAAUGCCGCGUGAGUGAUGAAGGCCCUAGGGUUGUAAAGCUCUUUUACCCGGGAAGAUAAUGACUGUACCGGGAGAAUAAGCCCCGGCUAACUCCGUGCCAGCAGCCGCGGUAAUACGGAGGGGGCUAGCGUUGUUCGGAAUUACUGGGCGUAAAGCGUACGUAGGCGGCUUUGUAAGUUAGAGGUGAAAGCCUGGUGCUCAACACCAGAACUGCCUUUAAGACUGCAUCGCUUGAACGUCGGAGAGGUGAGUGGAAUUCCGAGUGUAGAGGUGAAAUUCGUAGAUAUUCGGAAGAACACCAGUGGCGAAGGCGGCUCACUGGACGACUGUUGACGCUGAGGUACGAAAGCGUGGGGAGCAAACAGGAUUAGAUACCCUGGUAGUCCACGCCGUAAACGAUGAAGACUAGCUGUCCGGGCACUUGGUGCUUGGGUGGCGCAGCUAACGCAUUAAGUCUUCCGCCUGGGGAGUACGGCCGCAAGGUUAAAACUCAAAGAAAUUGACGGGGGCCUGCACAAGCGGUGGAGCAUGUGG